AUUCCCCAUGUGACAUAAAAGGCACCAUUUAUGCAAUUAUUAAAUUUCUUCCAAUUUUGAAAGCCCUUCACAGUGGAUGUAUCUGAACCACACCUCCCAACUGGUUUUCUUGCAAAAGGAAAGAAAAAAAAAAAAAGACAGCGUCUUUUGUCGGAGAAUAUUAUAACCAAGGAAAUUUGUCAAACCACUUUUUUUUUGGAACGGACGUGGAUGUUUUGGUGGGCUGGAAAAUGAAUAUUUUACAUCUUUAGGCUAAUAUGGCCCAAGAUUAAUAUAUGCUCUCCUAACUAUAAGUGUCAAUUGAUCUACGCAAACCAAGAUCACACACUAAAAAAUUCAAACCAAUACCUUCUAUGGGUUUUCCAAAGUUUUGAGGAGGCUACUCAUCAUCUAAAUCAAGUUUCUCAUCAUUAGCGGUGCCACCAGCAGUAACAGAUGUUGGCAGGGCUCAAGGCAUCCUCUAGCCCUUGUGAUGUUUUCCCCUUGUAGAAACGACCACACAUGUAAAUUUUUAUAGCAAUUAAUUUUUUUUUAAAAAAUGUAUUAAAGUUCUAUCGACUAAUUUAAUUCUUUGCUAUUUUUCAAGAAUGGGGCUAAAGUGGAGAAAGGCAUGGUGCAAAUGACAUUAAUGGCCAUUGAGUUAAUUAGAAAAAGGAAUUAAAUUGUGGUGGUUUCUAUUGUAAUCUUUUGAAAAUGAACACAAAAGGAAAAAUAGACCAAA